rnacentral:lncRNA from 1 species
AGAGGAAAAUCAGCUUUUAUUCCAUUUAUUACUUUUCCCAAAGCCCAGCACUCCCCCUGCUGCAUCCAAACAGGUCUCAAAAGCAAGUGAGCCACAAUGGCACUGACAUUUCCUUCCUCAGUAGCAUCAGGUUCAUUCUGCUUGUAUGCAGGGUGUGUCACAAAAGUGGAAGAGAGGCACUUUCCUGCUUUCUGACCAGCCAGUUCCUCAGCCUCUGGGAGGGUUACUUCUCCCAUCCAUUUUUGGGUCAAUCUGCCCUACAGCGGACACAAUGAUGGGAAGUAUUUGAAAACCUAUCAAAAAUGACGUGGGCCUUACUCAGCUUGUGCAAUUCUCCUGAAACACAUGGUGUCUCAACAACAAAAACAAGGCACAAAGUAUGGGAAAAAGGCCCUUUCCCAGACUAGCAGAGGCAGCUGCUUUUGGGUUUCAAUGUCAGACUUCUGAGCAGAGCUUUGUUCUUGAUCCCCUGAAAUCUUUUGGUUUGCAGAGCCAACAGUUUGAUGUGUGCACCUUUGUCUGAACUCUGCUGCAACUGAAAAACUGAGCAAGUCACAACCCAUCCACUCAUUUUACCAAUGGUUCUUUGGGGUUUUAGUUUUGCAGAAACUGCAGCGGAAAGAGGGAAAAGCGGAGGCCAAAGGAAGAGGUUUGAUGCGUAACCAGAUACUCAGAGACAACAGCCCAGAGUGUUUCCAGGUCCCCUUGCCUGGGUCUGUGCCCUGGACUGGCCCAUCCCUCAGCUCCAGUAUGAAUCCCAGUGUUUUACAGUGUCACUGGCAGCCCCCAGAGCUCCUGCUAGCACAGGGCCAGGUGCCCUGGAGCUGGGUGAACACUUGGCUCUCAAAAGCAGGACAGCAGGAUGCACCCCCAGAGCUCCUUCCCAAGGUAUCCAGCUGAGCCAGGGGCUGCAGGGCCUGUAAAAGCCAGGCUCAAAUGAGGCCAUGGAGAUUAAGUGAGAUCUCCUACAUGGACUUUCUCAAGAGCCUCUAGCCAGAAGCUUCAGCAUGUCCCACGGUAUAAAUCUCUGCCUAGGUUUAGGAUUAGACUUCAUGUAUUUGGAGUCCAAUUCUGACAUGAAAAGCCUCUAAUGAGUUCCCUAGAGUUUAAUCCACUUUCUCCAUGUCAAAUUUGGAUCAUUAACUGGAAAAGAAAAAAGAAAGGUUGCAGUGAAAAGACAAAACAAAGCCAAUGCUAAUAAGUAUCAAGAGAAAAGGAAGAAGCAACAUUUCCUCUAAGUGCAGCCACUCCUCUCCCCAAACCACAGCACAUCUGCCUUCACAAGAGGUGAACAAGACUGCAGGCAAAUGACACAUUCCUGUCUGGCUCUGAGGAUGCAUCUGAUGUACCCUUUGAUACAGUGCUCUUCAAGGAGAACAACACUGACUUUUGGCUGAGCUUUGCAAAAACAGGCUUGUUGUGGAGCUGUUUCAGAGACAUGAGAAAGAAAGGAGCUCAUUUGAUCAUGAAGCAACAAACAGCAACACUUCUUUGUUAGAGAAAAGUAAAAAUCUCCAC